GAUGAAUACCGAAAGCUGACGGCUGCGCAAACUGAGUGCAUCUGAGAAAAAAAAAACGUUAUAGGUCACGAAGGAACCAAAAUAUGUCGGCUUUUGUUGAGUAAGUGCUCUAUUCCUCGUCACACGCAUUUACCGAAAGCAUCUUUGAAUGAUAGGAAUCCUAUUUUGGACCAAAAUCAUCAGGAAAAUAGCUAUCAGAUAGUUUGUUAGUUCGAGAACAUGUGAAAUCAACGUUACAACUGGCCGCUUCAUGUGCUGCGAUUGUUGUUAGCUACCCAUUAUUACUUGUAGGCUGCUGUUUGUACUAA